AAAAAUUAGCUGGGCGUGGUGGCGGGUGCCUGUAGUCCCAGCUAUUCAGGAGUCUGAGGCAGGAGAAUGGCGUGAACCCAGGAGGCAGAGCUUGCAGUGAGCUGAGAUUGUGCCACUGCACUCCAGCUUGGGCGACAGAGCUAGACUCCGUCUCAGAAAAAAAAAAAAAAAAAAAAAAAAAAGACAAUCUAGUCUGGGCUCAGUCUAGGAGAGCGAAUCACUUGUCAGGAGUUCAAGACCAGCCAGGCCAACAUGGUGAAACCCUGUCUCUACUAAAAAUACAAAAAUCAGUCGGGUGUGGUAGCAUGUGCCUGUAAUAUCCCAGCUACUCCGGAGGCUGAGGGAGGAGAACAUCGUGAACCUGGGAGGCAGAGGUUGCAGUGAGCCGAGAUGGCCCACUGCACUCCAACCUGGGUGUCAGAGCAAGGUUCCAUCUCAAAAAAAAAAAAAAAAAAUGAAAGAAGGAAAAGGCAAGGCCAGGUGCGAUGGCUCACACCUGUAAUCCCAGCACUUUGGGAGGCCGAGGCAGGUGAAUCACGAGGUCAGGAGCUCAAGACUAGCUGUCCAACAUGGUGAAACUCCAUCUCUACUAAAAAUACAAAAAAUUAGCUGGGCAUAAUGGCAGGCGCCUGUAAUCCCAGCUGCUCUGGAGGCUGAGGCAGGAGAAUCGCUUAAACCUGGGAGGCGGAGGUUGCAAUUAGUCCCAGAGGUUGCAGUGAGCCGAGAUCAUGCCACUGCACUCCAGCCUGGGCGAUGGAGCGAGACUCUGUCUCAAAAAAAAAAAAAAGAAAGAAAAGAAAAGACAGUCUACAGUCUAGUUUAUGGAAUAACAGAAAUCUUUAGGGCCUUGCAAGGUUUUUGGUGAAUAAAGUUUUUUUAAACAUGAAAAAAAUAAAGAAAUCUUUAUGGCCCUGUCAACCUCAAUUAUAAGCAGAGAGGCUCUCUAACGGAAAAUGUUAAUCUGGGAAUACAGUGUGCAAUGGGAAUAGGCAUGCUUGGUAAACUAUGUAUUUGGGGAGGAAAAGGAAGACAAAGGUUUUUAAAGGAAAGAAUGAGGAGGAUUAUGUAAUUGUUUUGAGAUAAUUACCUUUGACUACAAAGAUCAAUAACAAGGGUGACAUCAGUCCAAGCUCAGAUAGACAGUUGCUGGGCAAAUGUCCUUGUAGUAGUAUCUUUUUGUAUAAGGUUUGAGAUGGUCUUUGUGCAAGGUUGUGUUUUUUGUAGUCUUUUUUGUUAUUAGGCAUAAUACAUGAGACUUCUCUCUCUCUCCUUCUCUCUCUCUCUUUUUGUAGACACAGGGUUUUGCCAUGUUGGCCAGGCUGCGUUUGAACUCCUGGCCUCAAGUGAUCCACCUGCCUUGGCCUCCCAAAGUGCUGAGAUUACGGCCUGAGCCACCGUGCCCGCCUGAGAACUCUCUCUCUCUCUCUUUUUUUUUUUUUUUUUUUGAGACAGAGUCUCACUCUGUCUCCCAGGCUGGAGUGCAGUGGCACGAUCUCAGCCUCACUGCAACUUCCGCCUCCCAGGUUCAAGGGAUUCUCCUGCCUCAGCCUCCUGAGUAGCUGGGAUUACAGGCACGUGUCACCACGUCCAGCUAUUUUUUGCAUUUUCAGUAGAGACGGGGUUUUACCAUGUUGGCCUGGCUGGUCUCGAACUCCUGACCUCAGGUGAUCCACCCACCUCGGCCUCCCAAAGUCCUGAGAAUACGGGCAUGAGCCACCGCGCCCCGCCAAGAAUUCUCUCUUUAUAGCUUUCCCUCACUCCCUUUAUCAGUGUUUUCUUAAUGUUAAUGACUCCAUUUUGAUUCUGAUAACUUUCACAGCCUUCAUGUGUGCUUUAGGGUAAGAAGCAGCCAUACCCAGAUCACAAUAGCAAUGUUCCUUUAUCAAAUGAGUGUAUAAGCUAAAAGCUUUUCAUCAUUGCAACAUCAUUCAAAAUUCGCUCUUCAAUUUAGGCAAUUGCUACCACUCCCCAUCAGUAAAAUAAUGUAUAGUCUAUAAUAAGUAGUAAAUUGUGAUCAAUGUUUGUUUUGAGAUACUAUCUGUUGACUUUACCUGGGCCUCUUUCUUUUCUUUUCUUUUUUUGAGACAAGAUCUCACUCUGUUACCCAGACUAGAGUGCAGUGGCACAAUCUGGGAUCCCUGCAUUUUCAACCUCCCUGGCUCAAGGGAUCCUCCUACCUCAGCCUCUCAAGCAGCUAGGACCACAGGCACGUGCCACCAUGCCCAGCUAAUCUUCUUUACUUUUUGUAGAGAUGGGGCCUCACUGUGUUGUCCAGGCUAGUCUCAAAUUCCUGGGCUCAAGUGAUCCUCCCACCUUGGCCUCCCAAAAUGCUGGGA
rnacentral:lncRNA from 1 species